rnacentral:rRNA from 1 species
GUGGGGAAUAUUGGACAAUGGGCGAAAGCCUGAUCCAGCAAUGCCGCGUGAGUGAUGAAGGCCCUAGGGUUGUAAAGCUCUUUUACCAGGGAUGAUAAUGACAGUACCUGGAGAAUAAGCUCCGGCUAACUCCGUGCCAGCAGCCGCGGUAAUACGGAGGGAGCUAGCGUUGUUCGGAAUUACUGGGCGUAAAGCGCGCGGAGGCGGUUUUUUAAGUCAGAGGUGAAAGCCCGGGGCUCAACCCCGGAAUUGGCUUUGAAACUGGAAAACUUGAAUCUUGGAGAGGUCAGUGGAAUUCCGAGUGUAGAGGUGAAAUUCGUAGAUAUUCGGAAGAACACCAGUGGCGAAGGCGACUGACUGGACAAGUAUUGACGCUGAGGCGCGAAAGCGUGGGGAGCAAACAGGAUUAGAACCCCAGUAGUCC